rfam:Dipodomys ordii contig_20192, whole genome shotgun sequence.
GGGAAGGUGGCUCAGUGGUAGAGCUCUUGCCCUGCAUGCAUGAGGCCUUGGGUUCGAUUCCUCAGCAUCACA